UAACAAAUAUAAAUAUAUUCUCUUGUUUAUAGAUACAUUUGUGUACACACAGAGAGGCCGCUAGGGCUAUGCAUAUAUGGCAAGUAGCUAGAGACGCACGUGAGAAAAGGAAUAGGAGAAUAAUCAGAACGAAAGAGAGAAGAAGAGACAAAUGGACUGCGCGGAGAAAUGGGCCUGGAAAACAACCAAUUACAUUUGAGGAUGUCACAUCGCCCUCCUCUUGUGUGGGUAUGAAGAGCAAGAUAUAAACCAUUGCCGAUCAAGUGUUGGUAAGUCCAAGACCAAAUAUCAACACACUGGGAAUAGGAGUUAUUGGUAAAACUCGGCUCCUGCAAGCAUUUAGAUUGCCCAAACAUGUCAAACAUAUCUUCUUGUACUAUCUUUCUUCGAUAAAGAAGAUAAAAAUAUAGAUAGAGACUAUGCAUGUUUGAUCUCUAUAUUGCUGUAAGUUUUCAAUGAUCGUUUUUGGGUACGUGAUCACUUGCCCAGCGAAAAUGUUAAAAAAAUGAAGCUUAAAGAA